GCUCAGUUACUCAUUUUGACAAGACAAGUAACUGGAGAAAUGCCGUUUGGAAAAAUGAGGAGAAAGCUACCUCUCAUUUCCCCAUCUCAACCCCAUCCUCCACCUCCUCCUCCUGUUCCUUCUUGCUCUCGUUCUCCAAACCACCUUCCUGCCCUGUCUCCUCACUCUUUUGGCUCUCAGCCUACUCCCCAGCGCCAUCCGUCUCGUUCAGCUUCCUGCCCUGCCCGUUUCCUUCCUCUGACUAAGGUAAUCCCUUCCUGCCUCCCUACCUUUGUGAUUUCCCCGCCCAGCACUUCCUCUAUUCCUUCCAGACCAUCCAGUGGCCACCCUGUUUGACUGCCUCUCCUUUCCUGUAAUGGCUCUAUCUUUGUCCCUACUCCUUCUAGCCCUUCUUUCUAGUCUCUUAGACUGUGAUCCUUGCCAAUACUCCAGCAACCCCUAAUCAGAACCUUUAACCAGAUGAUUCACAAAUCUCGUCCUGGAGAGAUGAUUUCUCCAUUAGUGGGCCAGUUCUGGUGAAGUUCAGAAUUGCCAGGACUGUGGAUUUGCAGUAGCCUGAACUGGUGGACACAGGGAGUUCAAGAUGGUGGCCAACCGACACUCAGCUUGAAAGCUGAUAUCCCUGUCAUCUGGGUCUCUGCAUCUGAUCAUAACUGAGAGGUGACCCAGAGAUGUAAAGUCUGCAACCUCAGAUGCUGGAUGAGAAGUUAUAGGGCUAGGGCCAUUGUGUUCUUCAACUCUUCAGUAUUUCUCAAUACACAUCGUCUCAGAGUUUAGAAGCACACUGAUGGCCUGGAAUGACCCAAGGAAAUGACUGGUCAAGGUGAGGUCCAAUGACAAGUCCACUACCUCCUGGGUUUGCCACUGGACUGCAAGUCCUCUCCUGGCAGCUGAGGGGCGGUCCUAGUAACCAGGCUUGGUCCUGAGAAGCUGGACAAGGUGAACAGAGCGCCAGAAGAGGCGGGAUUCGAAAUAAGAUUCCAAGGAACGCUGUUGCCUGGAGACGGCGUGCGACACUGUUGCUUGGAGACGGCCGGAGACCCUGCACUGGGCGAGCGUCCAGAAGGAGCGGGACCCGACCUAGCAGGGCCAAGGUCAUGGCCGUACACCAAAAGGAGGAGGUAGUCCCAGAUGAAGUCCAUCAGAACCAGAUCUUGAGGGAAUUGUACCUCAAAGAGCUACGAACCCAGAAGCUCUACACCCAGUAUCACGUGAAUACCCUCUGCAAAGGUUAUUAAGAUCUUACAAAAUUAAUUGGACAAAGGCCCACAGGGUGAGGAAUUGAGGCCUUCUGCAAACAACCAACAAGGAACUGAGACCUCUCACCAACAGCCAUGUAACGAGCCAUCUGUAAAGUGCAUCUACUACCAAGAAAUUGUCAGAAAUUUUCAUCUUUAAGUUAAUAGUGAGGCAACAAACCAAGGGACCACAGGGACCAAGAGGAAAGCUAUACUGUAAAGUUCUACUCUGAAGCAUCUCUACAAGAUCCUGUCCAGAAGCAUGGGAGGGGGUCAUGCUGACUGAAACCACAAAGAAAGGAAGGAUAAGAUGGCUGAACAAAACGAGUCAAAAUUGAUUGAAGGCAACAUGGCACUCUGAUUUGACUUGACAUAGACCUGCAGCACAUUAUACACUCAUUGUGAUACCUUACCAUAGUAUACAAAACACCCACCGACUCCAUGACAGUUUACAACUGCCAUGGCAACAGCAGGAUAUAAUCAAAUAAGGAAAGAAAAAAGGUGGCACCCUUGCUCCCUAGAAAAGCCUGCCUGUUUCCCCAAAUAAAUGUGAGUAUUCCUCCCCUUCAUUACCUAGACCCCGUAUAAAUAGCUGCUUAAUUAACCCAGGAGCUGAGAAGUUGAUUUUUGCACUUCGUUCCCACUUCUCCAUUCUUUGGCCAUUUAAUAAAGCUUGUGCUAUUGGACACUCAAC